GAGAAUCAAAUUAAUAGUAUUUACCUUUUUCUUUUAAUGUUAUUUAUUUAAAUAAACUCAGUCAAUGUUGUUCCUUAGUUUGUGCUGAAUACGUGGCCAGUAAGUUAUGUUAGUGGCUUUAUGGAGAGAUUUUAGCAAAUCUCUGAAACCGUCAUAUUUACUGUGUAUAAGUAGGAAAUCUUAAUUUAAUGAAAAAAACAACUUCCACAAUAUAUUCUCAA
rnacentral:lncRNA from 1 species